rnacentral:tRNA from 1 species
CGCACUGUGGCUUAGUUGGUUAAAGCGCCGGUCUAGCGAAUACGGAGUCGUGGGUUCGAAUCCCACCAGAACGC